AUUGAACGCUGGCGGCGUGCUUAACACAUGCAAGUCGAGCGGUAACAGGCGUAGCAAUACGUGCUGACGAGCGGCGAACGGGUGCGUAAUACAUGGGAAUCUGCCCUUUAGUGGGGAAUAACCCGGCGAAAGCCGGGCUAAUGCCGCAUAAGAUCUUCGGAUGAAAGCGGGGGAUCGUAAGACCUCGCGCUGAUGGAUGAGCCCAUGUCGGAUUAGCUAGUUGGUGAGGUAACGGCUCACCAAGGCGACGAUCCGUAGCUGGUCUGAGAGGACGGCCAGCCACACUGGGACUGAGACACGGCCCAGACUCCUACGGGAGGCAGCAGUGGGGAAUAUUGGACAAUGGGGGAAACCCUGAUCCAGCGACGCCGCGUGUGUGAAGAAGGCCUGCGGGUUGUAAAGCACUUUCGGUGGGAACGAAAUGUGCCGGGCUAAUACCCCGGCAAGCUGACGUUACUCAAUGAAGAAGCACCGGCUAACUCUGUGCCAGCCGCCGCCGUAAAAC
rnacentral:rRNA from 1 species